CAAUUAUCUUCUUACUUUCAUAUUUAAGUAAUUUAGAUUUUUCUUAUAAGCUCCAAUCCUAAUCAGUGACUUUUAACAAACUGUAACUUCUAAUUUGACUAUUUACUUGAUGUAAAAUUUUGCAUGCAAUUUUCAAUGUAAGUCUUCUAUAGGCUCAAGAAUUUUCAAUCCAAUCCAACUUAUAGAUUGUGAAAAAACCUCCAAAAAUUGCACUGAUGUUACUCAUUUGCCAACUUGAAAAGUGAAGCAAAAAUCUAAGCAGUGAUUUCUCUUCCUCAAGUACUUAACUUUGACUCAAAAUUAGUAUACAGCUUGGUCUUCAAGUCCUUCAAUAUCAUGCCAAUUUUUACCUUGAUUUGACUAGUAGAUCUCUAGAUAUCAUAGAAACCC
rnacentral:lncRNA from 1 species